rnacentral:rRNA from 1 species
ACCCGCUGAAUUUAAGCAUAUAAUUAAGCGGAGGAAAAGAAACUAACCAGGAUUCCCUCAGUAAUGGCGAAUGAAGCGGGAAUAGCUCACAGUGUGAAUCUGCGCUUUUAGCGCCGAAUUGUGGUCUGAAGACUUUUGCGUUACUGGCCGGGCCAAGUCCCUUGGAACAGGGCAGCAGAGAGGGUGAGACUCCCGUUCGCCUGGCCUUUGGAGCACUUGUCAACGAGUCGAGUUGUUUGGGAUUGCAGCUCUAAUUGGGUGGUAAAUUCCAUCUAAAGCUAAAUACUGGUGGGAGACCGAUAGCGAACAAGUACCGUGAGGGAAAGAUGAAUAAGAACUUUGAAAAGAGAGUUAAAGAGUACCUGAAAUUGCUGAAAAGGAAGCGAAGGAAACCAGUGCCAGCUGCGUCAUACUUCCCCGUCCGCUUGCGGUUGGGGCGCUGUGGCCAGCGUUGUCAGGCUCGGUUGGAUGGACCGGAACUGUGUAUUGGUAGUUUUGACCAAUGCAAUACUGCGGCCGAUCCGACUGAGGUUGACGAAAUGGUUUUCUUUACCCCGUCUUGAAACACGGACCAAGG